UACAGUUUGGUAAAGUGUGAAGUCUGUCUGUGAGGUGAUUCUGAAGGAGGCCUGAGGCCUAGUCCAGAAACCACACAUUUUCCACUACAGUUAACCCCAGUACCCAGGUGAAAGUCAAAGAUUUGCGGAACUCACUUAUUUCCAUUCUGAAGCCAAGCAGCUGGGUCCUGCAGUCUGAUACAGGUGGCAAGAUACAAUAAUGUCAUGCUGGACAUAAGGAUGUUGCCAUAUUCAGUUUCUUCCAACCACUUUUAGUUAGCAAGCCUGAAGACAUCCUGUGGCUGGUCUCCCAGGACCUGAGACAGAACUCACAAGACAGUGCCUGAAAUCCAAAGCAGUCCCACUGGAUCCAGGAUAUUUGAAAGGUCUGUUAAUCAACUGAAGAGUAGAAGAAAUUGUGUUCAGGGGAAUCAUUGAAACUUAAUACUUUCAAUUCUAUCCAGCAGUCUUAUGGCAUCUAUAAAAGUGAUUCAGAAUUAGAAAAAAAAAAAAGGAAAAAUAAAAAUAAACACUCUAAUACAUGUAUAAAUGCAUAAUAACUAGGAGCAGUUUUGUAAUAAAAAUCUUUUAAU